rnacentral:rRNA from 1 species
AUGGUGAGGAGCUCCUCCUCAAUCCUGUCGCGCGCCGCGGCCCACCGUUGGCAGCGACGCCCAAGCCAAGGAACUGGAGCUGUCGGGACUGGCGGCGAAGGCACGACACUGCGGCGAGUCAGCUUGUGUCUAGCAUCGGCACCACACAAGAGGCUUGGCCGGAGAUGGCGCGACGGGGUGAGGACGUGGGUGGACCGGCGGCUCGGUGACUCAUUCCCCGUGGCGACCGGAGCACAUCCUAGCUCGGCAGCUUGCCUGCUCUGGCCGUUCGUGCUUCCCGGGCCGACAUCGGGUUGCCCUCUGCUCGAGUUCCAAUCCCGUUGCUCGGCCGUUCGUGCUGCCCAGCAGGGCAACCAUUACAGCUAUGUUGAUCUAUGUGUUGUCUCUGUAGGGAUAUUGGUCGCAUGGGUCCAGACGUUUUGUAAGCCUGGUGCAGAAACUAGUCACAACUGCUAA